AUACGUAGGGUGCAAGCGUUAAUCGGAAUUACUGGGCGUAAAGCGUGCGUAGGCGGUUUUGUAAGACAGAGGUGAAAUCCCCGGGCUCAACCUGGGAACUGCCUUUGUGACUGCAAGGCUAGAGUACGGCAGAGGGGGAUGGAAUUCCGCGGGUAGCAGUGAAAUGCGUAGAUAUGCGGAGGAACACCGAUGGCGAAGGCAAUCCCCUGGGCCUGUACUGACGCUCAUGCACGAAAGCGUGGGGAGCAAACAGGAUUAGAUACCCUGGUAGUCCACGCCCUAAACGAUGUCAACUGGUUGUUGGGUCUUCAUUGACUCAGUAACGAAGCUAACGCGUGAAGUUGACCGCCUGGGGGGUACGGCCGCAAGGUUGAAACUUAAAGGAAUUGACGGGG
rnacentral:rRNA from 1 species